ensembl:lncRNA SNHG10 small nucleolar RNA host gene 10
UCAGGAAAGGUUUGUUGAAUGGGGAACUAAGAAGUGAAUUCGUUCGUUCGACAAACGUUUCCUGAGCAGCCGCUGGGUGCUAGGCGCAGUGCCAGCGCGGAAUGUCCAGGGAGACCUGGUGCCCAAAGCUUGGACCCAUCGUGAGAAAUGAGAAGCAGAUACAAAGCAGUGUGGGAGUGCAGAGGAGACAAAGCAAGCCUCAUCAGGCCCAUUGCUUGCUCUGCUCUCCCUUGUACUUACCAGUGCUUGACAAUAUACAGUUAUUUACUAGCUUGGUUAUUGACUUCCUACCCAGCACUCAGUUUUAUUCACUGCUGUAUCCUCAGUGCCUAGGACGAUGCUUGGAACGUGGUAAGUGCUCCUAUUGGCGGGAAGAAUAAAUCCGGAAGAGCAGGACCAGUGGACUUGCUACAUAAUCUGUAGUCUUGGAGCCGCACAGGGUUGGUGGUACCCUCGAGCACACCAGACUUGCAGAAAAAGCAUACUCCAGAGGAAGCUGAGGCAUGCCUGCUCGAGAGCCAGCUGUUCCAUGUGCAAUUUUCCUCUGAUAGUUUCUGGUCACUGUUGCCACGGUGAUAAUGACUGGGCUAUGUCAUUAUCUAUCCGCCAACAGUAAGAGAAGCUUUGCAGUCGAGAUAUUGUUUAGCAGAUGGAGUGUUUUCUGUUGAACACUAAGUACUGCCACAAGUUACUUUUUUUUUUUUAAACUUUGAGUAUUUUUUUACAAUGUUGCUGGAGGUGAUCUGUUUAUGCUUUGAGAGUGUUCGAAUUUAAAAUCAGAAAAUCAUGUCAGUGAGUGAGUCUUUCAAAUAAUCCUUCGGCAUGAAACCUGAGCCUAGUAAACUAUGAAAGUAAACUCGGCACAUUACCCGAAAGUCUCAAUGUCAUAUUUUCACCCCCAUCAAUAUUAUUGAUGAUUGCUCAUUUUCUAAUGUGGGACCUGAAAUUUACCAGGUGCUUAAAGAAUCUUUUUGUUUUUCAGAUUCAUUGAUUCCAGGUAAAUCAGAGGAACAAGCAACAUGAACAGAAAUAUGUAGAAAAAGCUAUUAUGCAGAAGCAUAAUUGUUGUUUCAGAAGUCCAGCAUCUGGUGCACUUAACAAUAGAGAAUAUAUUAAACUCUUUCCAAAAUAACCUGUUGUUCCUACCUGUGUUACUGUAAAUUUCUUGAUGGCAAGAACCAUGUAACUGGUUUUUGUUAGAUUUCUGCAACUCAAGACCCAAUCCUGGGCAACUGUUGGACACUUAAACAUCCUUCAUCACUAGCUGCGUUCAUCACUAGGAAAAACCAAAAACCAGGAACAACCCGGAUGUCCUUCAACAAGGGAAGGGUGACCCAGCCCGUGAUGCAUCCGUCACACUGUGGAUUGCUGCUCAGCAACGAGGAGGCACAGACUCGAUACGGGAGCCAGCCUGGGUGACGCUCCAGAGAACUACCCUGAGUGGAGAAGGGCAGUCCCACCGUGUGAUUCCAUUAUUAUCACAUUCUUGAAAUGACAGAAUUAUAGAAAGGAGAACAGAGGAGUGGCUGCCAGAGUUUAAGGAGGGAAUGGGGAAAGGGGGAAGAGCAGCAUGC